GUCGUAACAAGGUUUNCGUAGGUGAACCUGCGGAAGGAUCAUUAUUGAAUAAACUUGAACAGGCUGUUGCUGGUNUUAGAAAGGCAUGUGCACGCUUGUCAUCUUUAUUUUUUUCCAACUUGUGCACAUAUUGUAGACCUUGGAGGAUUUAUUUUUAUCUUUUGUGUAAAUUGAANGGACUGCUGUGCUUAAGAAAAGAAAAAGUCGGCUUUCCCUCACUUUUCUCCAAGGGCCUAUGUCAUGUUUUUUAAUACAAGCUCUGAAAUAUAAAGAGAAUGUUGUCUAAAAUAAAUAUCAUACAACUUUCAGCAACGGAUCUCUUGGCUCUUGCAUCGAUGAAGAACGCAGCGAAAUGCGAUAAGUAAUGUGAAUUGCAGAAUUCAGUGAAUCAUCGAAUCUUUGAACGCAUCUUGCGCUCCUUGGUAUUCUGAGGAGCAUGCCUGUUUGAGUGUCAUCAAGUUCUCAAUCACUCUGAUCUUUUUGAUUGGAUGUGGCUUGGAUGUUGGGGGAAUCUCUUUGCAGGCUUUUUCUAAAGUCAGCUCCCCUGAAAUGCAUUAGCAGUAUCUUGAGCAGCAAGUGCAGGUGUGAUAAAUUGUGUACAUCUUUACAAGGCUGCAGAAAAUAAGAUAACACUGCUUAUAAACCUAUAUUUCAUUUUGACAAAUUUGACCUCAAAUCAGGUAGGACUACCCGCUGAACUUAAGCAUAUCAAUAAGCGGAGGAAAAGAAACUAACAAGGAUUCCCCUAGUAACUGCGAGUGAAGCGGGAAAAGCUCAAAUUUGAAAUCUGGCAGUCAU
rnacentral:rRNA from 1 species